rnacentral:lncRNA from 1 species
AACAUCAUUAGAGGUUAGUACAUCAUCAAAUCAUAUAAUUUUCUGAGGAAAAACAGGGCUCCUCAUCACUCAAGCAUCCAAAAAUUUCAAUUUUUAGGCAAACAGCUGCAGACUGCCCAAUGUAAAAGGAAACCGCUCAGGAGGUUUGCCUCACAUCGCGCCACCGCCCAACACUAAAAAAUACCGCUCAGCGGUGGCGGCUAGGGUUUUUCAAAAUCCUUGCCUAUUUGAUCCUAAUCUCCACUCUUUUGCUAAAAUCAUCAAUCCAGACCAAAAUCAAGCAAUUCAAUCAGUUCAAACAGUUCUUAUUCUAUCGAUUCAUGCAUAUAAAUUAAAAGCCCUAAUUUAUCAUGUUCCUAAGCAUGUUCUUUAACAAAUCCCAAAAUAGAAACCUUAAUCAAUGAAUUUGCAAACUUACUUGAGUGGAGAUGAUGAAUGCUUGCAGAAAAAUUGCUUAAUUGAUGAUGUAAGUCCUCCCCAAUGCAAGUCCCUGAACCAAAAACCCCAAACUUUGGCAAAGUAAUGGUGGAAAAUUGAAUUUUUGGUUAGUGGGUGAAUGAGAAAGUGAGGAAAUCUCUCUAGAAUGCUCUUGAAAGUGAAAGAAGGGUGUUAGGGCUUAGGGAGACCGCUCAGGCGAAAUGCAAAGAAGAGUUUGGAAGUGAAAAAUGUGAAAAACCGCUCAGCUUUUAAGCAAAGCCAAACCCCUAAGCGCCGCAACCGCUCAGCGGUAAAAUGCACUGCUCAACGGUUUGCGCCUGAUUUCUCUUCUUCCUCUUUUGCUUUCUUUUGAGUAAUCUUCCCUUCUACCACUUAAUUUCAACCUUCAAUUUUCAAAUAUAUACCUUUCCCCUCUCAGAUGCAAUCAUUAACAUAUAAUACACUUAACACAGGAUUAAAACAAAACAAUCAACUGGAUUGCCUUCCAGGUAGCGCUUUUUUAACGUCACGAGCCUGACCCAAACCUUUUUAGCACUCAUCAGUAAGUGCUUCUCCUUCCAACACCCUUCAGUAGGUUUACUUACCUUGUAUCCUUCAGCAGAUACAUAAAAUAUUUAGCAUCUCUCAGUAGAUGCUUCCCAAAAAGUGUUCAAAAAUUCAAUAAAAUAAAUGUACAAAAUCAAAUACCCUAAAACUACAAAUGUUUAUACAAAGUGGGAUUUAGAUAAAAUCAAUUCAUUCCAUCCCGGUUGGGAUCUUCAUCAACCCAACUCAUCAGUUGCUUUCUAUCCACUCUCUUUAUGGUUCUUGUGAAUGGUUUCCUAAUGUCCAACUUGCCAUCUUCUCGAUUCUUAAUCACAAGCCACUUCUUAUCCUUGAAUCUUACUUAUGUUCCAAUUGGAAGUGGUGUAUAUUCAGUGUGGAUAGUGCCUCCUUUGUCGACCUCCUCUUCUUCAGGUACCUGCAAAACAUUACAACUAUUAGAAUUGGUACCUAUUGUGUUGUUCUUUAGUGCAGCUUCUCUUCUUGACUUCUUAUGCCUGGCCCUCUUUUUUAUUCUAGUACUUUUCUCUUUAAAACCAGUAUAAAAGAGUAUAUUCUCUUUGUCUCUCAUCAUGAUCUUUGCAUCAUGGAUACUAAUAGACAUCUUGGAUGUGGCCAUGAAAGGUCUUCCAAGAAUUACUGGAAUUCUUUCUGCAUUUUCCCUGCUCAUGAUGAUAAAAUCAGCUAAGAAUUCUAACUGCUCCACCUAAACAACUACAUUUUCCACCAUACACAAUGGUGUUUUAACUGAACCAUCCGCCAUUGUCAUUGUGAGAUUAGAUGACUUUAAUGUUAAGCCUCAAAUUUUAUUAAACAAACACACGGGCAUCAUGUUAAUUCUAGAUCCAGAAUCUAUCAUUGCUUCUCCUAUAUCAACCUCCUUAAUCUUACAUGCCAAAUUCAAGCAACCUGGAUCUUUUACUUUAAGCGAAUAAUUCCUUGGAGGUUGAAUCUCAAAUUCCUGCUCAUCAUCAUCUUCAUCUAAAUCUAUCAUAUCUCCAAGAUAAAAUUUCAUUCUUGCAGGAAUCUGUUUAAUAAUUGAAGGCAUAAUACUCAUUUGAUUAUAAAUUUCUCUGUUCUGCUCAUUAUGACUAUCUCUUGCUUCCUUUUCUUCUUCUCCUUCACUACUACUGCUACUCUCAAUGGCUUCACCUUCCUCCUUUUUAUCACUGCUUCCAAUCGCUACAACUUCCUUGUCAACUCUUCCUCCAUCACUUGUCACCACAACUUUACAUUCUUCUUUAGGGUUAACAUCAGUAUUAGCCCUAAACUGGUUCUUUUCAAUGGUUUCUACUCUUUUUGACAAUUGUCCAAUU